UACGUAGGGGGCAAGCGUUGUCCGGAUUUAUUGGGCGUAAAGGGCGCGUAGGCGGCUUGGCAAGUGGAUGGUGAAAUCCCUCGGCUUAACCGAGGAACUGCCGUCCAAACUGCUUUGCUUGAGACCGGGAGAGGUGAGUGGAAUUCCCAGUGUAGCGGUGAAAUGCGUAGAUAUUGGGAGGAACACCAGUGGCGAAGGCGGCUCACUGGACCGGUACUGACGCUGAUGCGCGAAAGCGUGGGGAGCAAACGGG
rnacentral:rRNA from 1 species